rnacentral:rRNA from 2 species
GCAAGUCGAGCGGACGGAUGGGAGCUUGCUCCCUGAAGUCAGCGGCGGACGGGUGAGUAACACGUGGGCAACCUGCCUGUAAGACUGGGAUAACUUCGGGAAACCGGAGCUAAUACCGGAUAAUGCAUUUCCCCUCAUGGGGAUAUGCUGAAAGAUGGUUUCGGCUAUCACUUACAGAUGGGCCCGCGGCGCAUUAGCUAGUUGGUGAGGUAACGGCUCACCAAGGCAACGAUGCGUAGCCGACCUGAGAGGGUGAUCGGCCACACUGGGACUGAGACACGGCCCAGACUCCUACGGGAGGCAGCAGUAGGGAAUCUUCCGCAAUGGACGAAAGUCUGACGGAGCAACGCCGCGUGAGUGAUGAAGGUUUUCGGAUCGUAAAACUCUGUUGUCAGGGAAGAACAAGUGCCGGAGUAACUGCCGGCACCUUGACGGUACCUGACCAGAAAGCCACGGCUAACUACGUGCCAGCAGCCGCGGUAAUACGUAGGUGGCAAGCGUUGUCCGGAAUUAUUGGGCGUAAAGCGCGCGCAGGCGGUCUCUUAAGUCUGAUGUGAAAGCCCACGGCUCAACCGUGGAGGGUCAUUGGAAA